CACGUAGGGGGCGAGCGUUGUCCGGAUUUAUUGGGCGUAAAGGGCGCGUAGGCGGCACAGCAAGUCGGGAGUGAAAGCCCGGGGCUCAACCCCGGAAUGGCUUUCGAAACUGCUGAGCUAGAGUACAGAAGGGGCAACCGGAAUUCCCAGUGUAGCGGUGAAAUGCGUAGAUAUUGGGAAGAACACCUGAGGCGAAGGCGGGUUGCUGGGCUGAUACUGACGCUGAGGCGCGAAAGCCAGGGGAGCAAACGGG
rnacentral:rRNA from 1 species